rnacentral:rRNA from 1 species
UACGUAGGGUGCGAGCGUUGCCCGGAAUUAUUGGGCGUAAAGGGCGCGUAGGCGGCUCGGCAAGUCCGUUGUGAAAUCGCCCGGCUCAACUGGGCGGGGUCAGCGGAUACGGCCGAGCUGGAGCAAGCUAGGGGGUAAUGGAAUUCCCGGUGUAGUGGUGGAAUGCGUAGAUAUCGGGAGGAACACCAGUGGCGAAGGCGGUCAAAUGGCCCGACACUGACGCUGAGGCACGAAAGCGUGGGGAGCGAACAGG